rnacentral:tRNA from 1 species
GCUUAUUUAGUUUAAAAAAAACAUAGCCUUUUCGAAGCUAAGAUAGAAUUAAUCUUAUAAGUU